rnacentral:rRNA from 2 species
GGAUCCCAUCAGAACUCCGAAGUUAAGCGUGCUUGGGCGAGAGUAGUACUAGGAUAGGUGACCUCCUGGGAAGUCCUCGUGUUGCAUUCCCC